rnacentral:lncRNA from 1 species
AAUAAUAGUAUUUAGAUAUAUACUAAUUCUAAGAGAUUUAUUUUAUAUAUCUCGAUUAAUUAAUUUUAUAACCUCAUUAUAGCAAGUCUAAUUGGGUUAAGGAAAUAAAUGUGCAUGAGUAAGAAUUGUGUUUUAAAUGAGAAGAGAAAACCCUAAUUAAAUUAUUUGGGUUGGAUAAGAAUUUAAGGUAUUGGACUAUGUAUAUUUUAUAGCCCAAGUGUUGGCCCAAUGAAAUUGAUUAGAGGCCCAAGCAAUACAUUAAUUGAGUGGCCCAACUUUUAGCCCAAGUGGGAAGGAUAUGUUGGACAAUUAGUAAGUCAAUUAAGCAUUAAAGGAAAGCCCAAAAGAUUAUAAGUGAUGGCCCAAUUUUGAGCCCAAUUGAAGGAAGGGCAUGAUGGACAUUUGGUAUUAUUAAGAGUGUUGGACUAUGAUUGAUUUACAUGGCCCAAAGAAUUAAAUUCUUUAUGUCCAAUAGAUUAAUUUUGCAAGCCCAACUUAAAGUCCAAAGGGAUUAAAUAUGGUGGCCCAAACAUUAUUUAAAAAANNNNNNNNNNNNNNNNNNNNNNNNNNNNNNNNNNNNNNNNNNNNNNNNNNNNNNNNNNNNNNNNNNNNNNNNNNNNNNNNNNNNNNNNNNNNNNNNNNNNNNNNNNNNNNNNNNNNNNNNNNNNNNNNNNNNNNNNNNNNNNNNNNNNNNNNNNNNNNNNNNNNNNNNNNNNNNNNNNNNNNNNNNNNNNNNNNNNNNNNNNNNNNNNNNNNNNNNNNNNNNNNNNNNNNNNNNNNNNNNNNNNNNNNNNNNNNNNNNNNNNNNNNNNNNNNNNNNNNNNNNNNNNNNNNNNNNNNNNNNNNNNNNNAGUCAUAGAAUUGAAUCGUAAUAUAUACGAUGAGAUCACCCCGUGAUCUGUUAAGGUUAUGACAGCCAGAAAGAAUCAAUCUGAUGAUUGAAAAGUUUACAGCAAGAUGCUGUGUGACAAUUGUACUAUGAAAUUGUACUAUAAAAGCUCAUAAAAGAGUUAUGGAUUAUGAAUAUGGAUUAAAUGAAAUUCAUAUUGAGAAGGGUGUUAAGAUUAGGUGGGGAUUUCAAUUGAGGACUCAUGUCGGCAGCUGAGUUGUAUGAUUCCUUGUAUGGGCGGGGAAUUUGUACUUGGUUUUAGAAUCACUUAGCUUCCUGGUCGAUGUAGUGGUUAGGUUGACCAAUUCUUUGUAUGGGCGGGGAAUUGUCCGCUUAGCUUCCUAUAUUGAUUAGUAGCCGAGUUUGGUUUGACAACCACUUAGUUUCUGGCACUGAUAAUCAUUGAAAUGUUGUGCCGCGUUAUUGCUAUAUGCGUGUUAAGAGGGUGAUUCCUUUCUCAUGUGUAUAACAGAUAGAUAGGUUAUAGGUAGAGGAUACAAGGUUAAGUAUGAGUUCUUAAAACUCAUACUUAUGUUACGUUCGUGACUCAUGGUUAUAUGAAAUGUUUAUGAACCCCUCAGCGAAUGGACGCCAAAAGUAUAACUAGGACAAGUUCUUAAACUAAUAUGAUUGUGGAAAUUAAUGAACUCAUAAGUGUGGUUUUAUGAACUGGGUAUAGUUUGUGUGAAUGGAGCAUUAAGGAUUAUAGGAACAGAUAGAAUGUUUAAGCAAAUGAUUGUUAGUGGAGGCAUUAGGUUUUCCUAAACUCCUAGCUAUGCUAAACUUCAAAUUUUUGACAUCAAGCUAAAUACGCACUAUGUGCCUUUUAAAAAAAAUGUAGACUCGUAACCAUUUUUGAAACGGUUUAAAGUACAGUCUAUGCUACUUAUUUUGUCUAGACGCAAAGGAUUUGAAAUAUCAAAAUUUAUUUUUAAUUAUCACUCAUGUACCAUGUAACCUGGUGCCGAGAUGAUAAAAAUGUGAUAGAGUUAUAAAUACAGGAAUACUUAGUGUGAAUUUGACCUGAAGUCGCUGUUCCACUAUUGUAUGAUGUGUUAUGACCAGGUCAUACAAUGACGGCAUCCUCAAACGGACUGUUAAUAUAGUACGGCAUCAUGACGUCAUUCUCGAAAAUGUUUUCAAAAAGUUUAAUUUGCCAACGGGGUUUGGCUACACCUAAAUAAUUCGAUUGAACUGAAUUAUCGAUAUGAGCCUAUGCUAUAUGAUUCAGCUAGACUAAUGUUAUGAAAAUUCUAAAUAUUCAUUGAUAGAAAUUUCCCGAACCAAAUUGUUUUGGUGAGGAAUCCUAUGAUAAGACUGAGGUGAACAAUGUUGUUUGGAUAAAUAAUCCAAUCUGAUAGCGUAAAUAUUCGCUAAAAAUUAUUAAUACGUUAUGCACGACGUAAGAGUACGAUAGGCUAAUUACCUAAAGUACUAGCAUGGGUAGUUUACCUUCUUCGUGAUUGUAAACAUACUUAUUAAAGAAAUGUUUAAGAGGUAGAGUACCUUUCUUUCUUAAUUGAAAGAGGUAGCAGGUAGAAAUACCCCUAAACCUCGGAGUUCAAAGUUCAUAAUUUUUAUGAUCCCUCAGACAGAUAUGAAAAGUUUUUUUUAACUCUUCAAAGUAAUGUUGUGGUAGAAUGUGAUGAUGGAUAUGAAAUAGUGUAAACUCGUUGCGUACGAGUAGAAUCUGAGAUGAUUAAAUAAAGGUUAUUAUGACAACCUAGUUUUGAUGAAUGUUUAGAAGAUGUAAACUCCUAGUGAGUAGUUAUGGUGAAAUGUGAUAAUAGAUGAGAAAUCCUCGAAUGAGGAAAUUGUAAAGGUUAAAUUGAAAACCUAGUUUUGAUCAAGAGAAUGAGCAGAGGUUAGGAUGCUUUAAUUUCGAGGACGAAAUUCUUAGAAGAAGGGGUGAAUGUGACAACCCGAGAAAUUAGAAAAUUAUUAAAAUCUUAAAUGAUUGGUUUAAGGUCAAAUAAUAGACCUAGACAGAGAAUAAGUGUAUGUGUUUGAUGUUUUCAGAAAGGAAUUUUGAGGAUUUAAAAUUUCUUUUAGUGAAUUAUUCAGGAUUAAGGGUAUGUGUGUAUAUAUUCUGUGAUUACGGUAUUAUGUGUACAGAAUGUGGUUAAGGGUCAAGUGUUGACCAGAUAAAUUAUAUCUGUGUCAAACCCUAAUAUUAUUAGAACGUCAACGUUCAGUUAUAAAAUUAUUACGAUUUAUAAGAAACCCUAGAAAUCGGUUCUGGAAACCCUAAUUUCAGUACCGGGAAUCCGAAAUCCUAAUUCAGUAUUUGAAACCCUAAUUUGGGAAGUCAAAGGCUAAAUAUAAUGGCUUAAGUAUUUGUGAUUAUAUAUUAGGGAUAACCCUAAUUGUUAAAUUAGAAAUCCUAAUGUUUUGUAUAAAACCCUAAGGGAUUAAAAGUUAUGUGUGUAAUGAAUAUGAAUAUUAUGUGUUUGUUUGUUUAUUAUAUAAACAAAUAAAAUAAACUAAUGUAAUCCUAAUUAUAUAUUAAGAAUGAAUGAUUGAAUAACUUAAGAGUUAUGAGUUGGGGGAAAUAAUAGUAUUUAGAUAUAUACUAAUUCUAAGAGAUUUAUUUUAUAUAUCUCGAUUAAUUAAUUUUAUAACCUCAUUAUAGCAAGUCUAAUUGGGUUAAGGAAAUAAAUGUGCAUGAGUAAGAAUUUGUGUUUUAAAUGAGAAGAGAAAACCCUAAUUAAAUUAUUUGGGUUGGAUAAGAAUUUAAGGUAUUGGACUAUGUAUAUUUUAUAGCCCAAGUGUUGGCCCAAUGAAAUUGAUUAGAGGCCCAAGCAAUACAUUAAUUGAGUGGCCCAACUUUUAGCCCAAGUGGGAGGGAUAUGUUGGACAAUUAGUAAAUCAAUUAAGCAUUAAAGGAAAGCCCAAAAGAUUAUAAGUGAUGGCCCAAUUUUGAGCCCAAUUGAAGGAAGGGCAUGAUGGACAUUUGGUAUUAUUAAGAGUGUUGGACUAUGAUUGAUUUACAUGGCCCAAAGAAUUAAAUUCUUUAUGUCCAAUAGAUUAAUUUUGCAAGCCCAACUUAAAGUCCAAAGGGAUUAAAUAUGGUGGCCCAAACAUUAUUUAAAAAAGCCCAAAAUUUGAUCCAAGUAAGGAGGGGCAUUUUAGUCUUUGGAGACACUAGAUAUUCAUUAAAAAGGAAGCAAGACUUGGUGAAAUAAUGGGCCACUUGGCCGAAUUUUUGUGGGAGAAAAGGAGAGGAAGUGGUGGGUUACACAUCACCAUUAUAAUCACCACAUGUUCCAUAAGAUUUUUCAUAACUUAGCUAGGUGUCAUCCAUUUUAAGGAGCCACUUUGCUUUCAAUCUCCCACACAUGUAUGCAAUGAUUACUAAGAGAGAGAAUGAGUGGAGAAUGUAGAGAAGAAAGGCACAUGGCCGGUUGAGUAUGAGAGAAAAAGAGAGUGGGUUGGAUAAUUGAUAAAAAAAAAAAUCUAUCUCAUUUCUCUUUCAUCUCUUUUAUUCUUCCAAGUUAGCAAAGAACUAAAGAUAGAGCGAGAGAGAGAGGGUGGCCAUUUCGGCAGCUCCAAGAGAAGGGGGAGAGGGGAUUUUAACUUUCAUAAACCCAAGACCCUCAUCACAUCUUUGAAGGAGAGAAAGAAAAGCAAAGGUAUAAAAAUACUUUUCCUAAGUUUUUCUCUAUUUUAGUUUAUGGAUUUGAUUUAGGGGUUUUUGAUUUGGUAGUUCAAACCCUAAGAUCUAUGUGAUUUAUAUGAUUUCAAGUAUGGAUCUACCCAUAAUGGGUUUUGAUUUGGUUUGAAUCAAAAAGAAAAGAAAAAUAAUUUUUCUAGUUUUGAAAACCCUAACUUUUAGGUGUUUUGAAUGUUUACCGUUUCUGAUCUAGAGAUUCUUUUCUCGAUCCGUCUAAGAGUAGUGCUAGAUAUUUGUGUUUACUAGUUAACCCAAGUGGUAGAACUCAAAAAUCACGUUUCUAAAACUCGUGGUGUUGAUUUAUGUGAAAACAGUCCCAUUUCUAGGAACUGUUUUGGAUCAGUCCGUAGCAGGGGCAUUUUCGUACCCUUUUUGUGCUUUAUAAAUUCUGGAAAAUUUUGGAGUGUUAAUAUCAGUAGAUAUGCAGGUUGUGUAAAAAUUUGAGAAUUUUUGGCCUUACGGUUUGAGAGAUAUGGAUUUUACGGUGAAGGACCCCAAAACUGUUUUUGGCCAAAAAGUUGCUGCCCAGAUUUUUACGAGGGCUGUUUUGGCCACUUAAACUGUGAAAUAAAUUCCGGCCUUUUGGGAAAUGAAAAAAUAUGGUAUUAAGUACCUCAUGUCCAAAAAUGAGCUAAUUCCGACUUAAAAUGACCGAGUUAUGACCAUUUCAAUUUUUAUGAUUUUCUGACGAAAACGGCUAUAACCGGAGUUCUACAACUCCGAUUGCCACGAAAUUUAAACUGGAGUGUCACGUUAACAUGUGUAAGAUUGUGUCAGAAGACGGAAAUUUCUGGAGUUAAGCACAAGGUAGCUAAUUUCUUAAGGAAUUAACUAGAAAUGAUUUUUUUGAAAAAUACUAAAGAAACUUGGAAAAUUAUGGAAAAAUAAUUUUUGUGUAUGAAAUAUAUGUAUAUGUGUUUGACCAAAGGAUAGAAAAAUAAUAAGUUGAUUUGGUAUUUUUCGUGAAAAAGAAUAGUGAUUUCGGGAUACUGAAAUAAAAUCCGUCUUACUGAAAUGGUAUUUCGGUUUACUAAGAUGUUAUCUAAUUUACUAGGAUAACAUAUAAAAAUGAAUAACUUAUAAGUACAAGUUAUGAUGUGAUUAAAAGAAUAUCAAAGUAUAAUAAUAAUAUUAAGACUUAAACCUAAUGUCUAAUACUUAACUAUAUGUUAUGACUAACCGAAAGAUCUAUUAUAGGUUUUAUAUGCUGUAUAGACUGAUAGGAUUAUGUGUUAUGUGUUAUGUGUUUAGGUUAUUCUAUAACAGUAUUAUACUGUGAUGAUAUUAUUCUAAUAUUGGAGAUCUGUAUUAUUAAUAUUAGGUCUUCAGACGAAGCUUAUUAUAUUGCGUUACGGUAAUCAACGGUUCAGGCAAGUUUGUUAUUACUUAACUCUAUUAAGAGUAGUUUCAUUCAGAUAUGCUUAUGGUUAAUCAUUGCUGAUUGUCAUGGAUAAUUGUACUCUAUACAUCUUGCAUGUAUUCGUCAGGUAUGAAAGGCUGAUCACCUUCAUUAUCAGUUGGUCCAGAUAUAUUAUUGUUCAUGUUCAAUACUUGUUCAGUCAAAAUUUUGUUCAUGCUAAUUCACAAAUACAUUGUGAAGGAUAGCCAGUUUAUUAUUCAAACUCUUUCAAUCAUGAUAUAUCUUUACAUUGUUUUUAAACUUGCUGGGCAACUUUCAUGCUCACCCUUGCUAUAUCAUGAUAAAACAUUGCAGAUAAGGCGAAUACAGCCAGUUACAGGAAAAGGAAAAUGCCAAGUUCAGCUUGGGAUAGAAUGUGCAGCUAAUUUUUAAAAGUAUGGUUGAAGAAUAGUUUUGUCAUGUGUUAGAUAGUUUAUGAUUGUGUAUUAGUUAAGGUUACUCUAUUUUGGGGAAAUAGUGUAUAAAGUUUAAUGUAUAAACAAUUUAUGUUUAUAUCUUCCGCAAACAGUUAUAGAAUUAGCGAACCGGAUCCGCGGCGAUUCGGGGGCGCUACAA